AGUGGGGAAUAUUGCACAAUGGGCGAAAGCCUGAUGCAGCCAUGCCGCGUGUGUGAAGAAGGCCUUCGGGUUGUAAAGCACUUUCAGUCGUGAGGAAGGGGUGUAAGUUAAUACCUUAUAUCUUUGACGUUAGCGACAGAAGAAGGACCGGCUAACUCCGUGCCAGCAGCCGCGGUAAUACGGAGGGUCCGAGCGUUAAUCGGAAUUACUGGGCGUAAAGCGUACGCAGGUGGCUUGUUAAGCCAGAUGUGAAAUCCCCGGGCUCAACCUGGGAAUGGCAUUUGGAACUGGCAAGCUAGAGUUUUGUAGAGGGUGGUAGAAUUUCAGGUGUAGCGGUGAAAUGCGUAGAGAUCUGAAGGAAUACCAGUGGCGAAGGCGGCCACCUGGACAAAAACUGACGCUCAUGUACGAAAGCGUGGGGAGCAAA
rnacentral:rRNA from 1 species